rnacentral:rRNA from 1 species
AUUGAACGCUGGCGGCAGGCUUAACACAUGCAAGUCGAGCGGAGAGAGGUAGCUUGCUACUGAUCUUAGCGGCGGACGGGUGAGUAAUGCUUAGGAAUCUGCCUAUUAGUGGGGGACAACAUUUCGAAAGGAAUGCUAAUACCGCAUACGUCCUACGGGAGAAAGCAGGGGAUCUUCGGACCUUGCGCUAAUAGAUGAGCCUAAGUCGGAUUAGCUAGUUGGUGGGGUAAAGGCCUACCAAGGCGACGAUCUGUAGCGGGUCUGAGAGGAGGAUCCGCCACACUGGGACUGAGACACGGCCCAGACUCCUACGGGAGGCAGCAGUGGGGAAUAUUGGACAAUGGGCGCAAGCCUGAUCCAGCCAUGCCGCGUGUGUGAAGAAGGCCUUAUGGUUGUAAAGCACUUUAAGCGAGGAGGAGGCUACUUUAGUUAAUACCUAGAGAUAGUGGACGUUACUCGCAGAAUAAGCACCGGCUAACUCUGUGCCAGCCGCCGCGGUAACAC